GAGGCAGGCCAGGUGGAGCAGGUGAUGAGGCCUCCGUAUCCCCCCCCCGCCCAGGAAACGCUUCCAGGCCCAGCUGUGGACAAUCAGCCCCUGGUUAGAUCCCAGGUUUCAUAGACAAGAGAGGCGGGAACAACAGAAGCAGGGGUGGGGCAGGCCUAGAAAGUGCUGAGUCACAGAGCCACACCCCACAGGGUAUAAAGCAGGAGGGGCUGCUAUACUACUUUGUGACGAACAAAUCAACUGACUGGAGAAAACUUGAGCUGAACUAUCUGACUGAGCAUUUGGCCUGAAUUGCUGUUUGCUCCUGACUUCCUGGUUGCUCCGGUAACGAGCUCUGCUACGCCGGCAUCAAGAGAUAAAGAAAUCCUUGGCAGACGAACGCUGGUUUGCUGCCAGAGCUGAUAGUUGCCGUGGACUCAAUUGCUGGCUAACUGAGUCAGUUCGUGUGCCUCCAGGACUGAGGUGGGGGACAGAACACACGCCUUCUUUCCUCCCUAAUCCACCUUGGCAAGACCCAUCUUCAAUUCUGUUUUCUAUAGCACUGCUUGAUAGAGUCAUUUUACCACUUUCACUCUUAUUUCCUUGGAAUUAUUAUAUGAAAAUGGAUGACCUGAGGCAAUUUCCAACUUCUUCAUUGACAGAAACUUUCUCUAAGUUGUGAAUCAUUCCCUAUUGCUUUUAUGGUAUGGAUGCCUAUAGCUUUUGAAUAUUUGGAACUGCUCUUUCUUUUUUAUCAAGAUAAUACAUUCACAAUUCCUGCAGAGCUCCUGAAAAUCACAUUUUCAUUUGAAGAAUUUUCAAUUAUUCAGAUGAAAGCUUCUAGACUUCAUAAAAAUUAUUUUUCAAAAUCAAACAGGUUAGAGGAGAAGCAGUGCCAUCAAUCAAACAAAAACACUGAGAACUCAGAUGCUACGUAAUGUAAGUAUUUAACACUUCAGCCACGUUGAGUACAAUUUUCUAUUCCACUUGUGAAAAACAUGUACCAUUCUUCUACAGUUUUAUUUAAUCAUUUGUGACUAUUUGUUACACCAUACGCUUGGGGUAUCUUUGUAUUGCCAUCCCUGUGUAUACAUAUACACAGUUUACAAAUUAAACAGAUAAAAACAGAAAAGCUGUGGGAGAAGACUUGAAAAAUAAAAGAUCAAAGAGACUGUCAUUAAAUGUAAUAGAUUUCUGCUAUCACAGCAUUUCAGCUUUAGUGCAUCGCUUUAACUUCAAGGCUUAAAAACACUAGCACAGUAACAACCAAGAGAACUGCCUUGUUGGGUCAGACCUAGAGCCCAUCUAGGGCAACAUUCUCCUUCCAAGAGCUUCCAGACAGAUGUUUCUGGAAGUUUACAAACAUAACAUAGAAUUAAUAUACUAAAAAAAGAUCUAGAUAUUGAGAUUUAAAUGACUGGUCAGUGCAUCACAUAUUGUUAACAAUAAUGUGUGCAUUGAAAAAUAAUAUGGGGAUGGAAUAUGGCACAUGACAAUAAUUCUCUUGAAAUUGUCAGGCCUUUAAUUCUGUCUGAUUUAGAAACAAUUGAAAAAAAUAAAUAAAUAGAAAAAUGUCAGCCUAUGAAGCAAAGUGCCAAGCAUAUUAACAUCUUUACUUACAAUAAAUACACUAAAUUUGAGGCACAAGGUAACAGUAGCACCAGGAAAACUUUGAUGCAACUCCAUAUUUACCGUAAAUUAAAGAAAGUUGAGUUUUGUUGUAGUCAUGGCCAAUGUUGCGUAGGUUCCAGCAUAUUAUUUUUUUUAAAAAAAAUUGGAUCUUGGUUUCAAAAAAACAGUACAUGCUCAACUUAUAAUGUUGUAUCUGUGCUCCACAUUUUUUCCACAGGCAUCCUUACAAAAUAGAAAUGGUCAAUGUCUGUGGUAACAUAUUGCUGGUUUUGGAAGAAAGUCAGAAAACAACAAGAAAAUGGGUUGUAGAGACCAUUUUAAGAGAGCGGGAAGAGGAACUUAGGCUUGGGGAAUGAGUUUUUGUCAUUGGCUAUGCUUCUGAGAGCCAUUUUGUGAGACCAUCUAAUAUAGUCACAAAUUUGAUUCAUCAGGUCCAAAUGAUUGCCUAUCCCUUCCAUGUGUUAACGCUGUUAAUUUCCUUUUUUUGGAAAGGAUGACACCAUGGCAAUCAUUGCCAAAAAGACAAUGCACUAUAUUAGUGCAGUCUUGAACUACAGCUGAAAAGUCAUCAUCAGUGCUGAAAAAUAGGAUUCUCUGAGUAGUAACUGACUAAACAAUGAAAGGAGUGCUAUGGAAGAAUACUAACUGGAUAUCCUGCAGAAACAACAUGGAUGUGUGCCCAUCAUUCUGGGAAAGAGUGUAUCUCUGGAAAAUGAUCAAAGUUAACAUGUCCUUUGUUUCUGAGCACUUAAAAUGAAUAACAAAUGAACUGCAGCAAGACACAGAAAAAAUGUUAUUUUGCAAGGACAACAGUUUGAGCCUUUCAUGGGAAAACCUAAGUAUGGCUAAAAACUUUAAAGUUUUACCUAUUCCAUUUUGUGGGGUGGAACAGGGGAUAGAAUUAAGGAAGUAAAAUGGCAAAAUAGGCUUAUCUGUUGAAAUUAUCCUUACAUGACUGCAUAAUUACUAGAAAUUCACUAACCCUUUAUGUCUUUGAUGCCUUUGUACUUUCACAGUACAUAUUUCUCUUUUAAUUAACAAACAAUUGCCCUGUGCUUCCACAGUUGCCGCUUGCCUCCACAUCCGCAGCAUGUUAUUGUAUCUAAGUUGUCUACUUCUGAAGUCAGACUAAGAUGUCUUUCAAGUGUAACAAAUAUACCUUCUGUACCAGGUUAUCCUACUCUGCUAGCUGAAUGUGCCCUUGGAAUGAAAGCUAAGAAACACUUUCUCUAAAAGAAUGCAAAUGACCAGCUGUCUCCAAGGAGUAUAAAUCCUUCUAUUCCCCACCAUGCAGCCAGAACUGAAGAAGCUUCUUUGAUGAGAAGCAAAAUGUCUUCAAAGAAAAACAAUCUUCUAUUUCUCCAUGGCUACCAAGUUUCCAGUUGAAGCGCUCAAGGUCUCUUCAGCCUUAUAAGGAAAAUAAACGUAAGUGAUAACUUAAUUAUUUACCAAGUAUUUACAGAACAUCAUUAAUAUUUCCUUUAACUUCUGUAUGUAUACUUCUUCAGCCAACAUGGAGCAUUUCAGAAACAGAACAAGACAGAUAUUGGGAUUGUACAAGCAAGGGAAUCAAAAUAGUUUUAUCAAGGUGAUCUCAAGACAAUGAAAGACACCAACUACCAAGAAAGGGAUUUCUGGUAUGAGACUGCUGAACUUAAAAGCAUCAAUGCAUGGAAUUGCUUUUUUGCUCCUGAAAACCUACACAUAUGAUGGUAUCAAUGAGGCAAUUUUCACUUUAUAUAGGACCACACAAACUUAUUCAUUUCAUCAGAUUUGGGACAUCACCUGACUCCAAAGUGACUGGAGGUCUCACAAUUUAAAACUGAACAUCAUGCAAAACACAAUAUAAAAUAUACAAGAUCAGCACCUCUCUGGACAGUACACUAUAUAUACAAAAGAGACAAUCCAAUAAGGGGACCCUCUCUAUCCCGUUUUAAGUUUUGGGAGGUUUUUAACGCUUUUGGGAAUGCCAUCAGAGUAGGAGCCACAUGAUUUUCUUGGGAGAAUCUGAUUCCAGAAGGCAGGUGUUGCAACAAAAAGACACACUUUCUGCGUUGAUAGGGUUGUUUAAUCAAGAGGACCCGAGCAUUCCAAUUCUGCCAGUUCUUAUGCGAUUAGCAAAUACCAUGGGAUAUAGGCGAUCCCUCAAAUAACCUGGCCCCCUGCCAUAUAAGGUUUUAUAAUGAUAAUCAGCAUCUAGAAUUCUACCUAGAGCACAAUGGCAACCAAUGUAGCUUGCAAAGCAGGACUAGUAUGUGGCCAUCCCAAGCCAUUUCCAUCGUUGGCCAUACCGCUGAAUUCUGGACCAGUGGAAACUUCCAAGUGCUCUUCAAGGACAGACUCAUGUAGAGUACAUUGCAAUAGAUAAGUGACAAUAUUCUGGUAUAAGUGACUGUCUGAGGAGCCUUCUAAUCCAGAAAAGAGUAUAAAUGGCACACAAGAUAAAACUGUACACAGUUGGCUAUGACCACAAUUGUUCUCCAAGUGGGAGCUAUGAGUACAAAACGACCCCCAGACUGUGCACCAGUUUUGAAUGGGGAAGUGCCAUCCCAUCCAAGAUUAGAGACAAAAAAAUAUCCCUGAAUCUGGGGGCCUCCUAAUUCCAUAGCGAUGCAAACUUGACAGGACUAAGUUGGGGUUGAUUUCUCCCCAUCUACCCUCCAGGGACGGGCCAGUACCUAAACAAAAUAAUCUGGCCACUUCAGCACUGAGAGAUGUAAUAUUAAACACACAUAGCCACUUAAAUCAGAAAGUCUGCUCUCAACCAACAUUUCCGGGCCUUAUUUUUAUCAAUUUCCCAAAUAGUUGUGUGUUUAUGUAUUCAGUGUUUAUCAAACUGAAAUGGAGUUGGAUGGAUGACUUGACAUACGUGGGGCAUCAGUUCUUCUACCAGUCAUCUUCAUUAAUUACAGGGUAUCAAAAAUAAAUAUAACCCUUAUAGUUAUAGUGUAAUUUCAAUUCAGAUCUAUACCGAUCAAUAUUAUGGUGAUACAAGUAUGUGCUUCAACUGCGGAUGCAAAGGAAACAGAUACUAGAGUUCUUUAGCAACUGAUCAGAAAAAUACUUCAAUGAAAUGGUAUAAUUGGAAGUAAUAGAGCAUAUAAUUUUGACCUAAGUAUUCUAUCAAGAAAUUUAAAUAUUUAUUGCAGGAUCCAAUCGGAGUCACUGGGACCAGAGGUUUAUUCUUCCAAGCUUUCGGAAUCAUGCUGAAGCCCAACUUCAGAGAACUUCUCUCUCUCUAGAAUCUUGGGACACAUAUAUUUGCCUUCAUUCAUGUUCAAUAUUUAUAACAAAUACUUUCCAAUAAUUUAAAUGACAGAUAUUGCUGGAUGGACAACAUUAACAUCAAAUUGAUUAUAGCCUAUGCAAGAAGAUGGAGCAGAAGCUCUACUAAGUCAUCAUAAACAAGAUCUGCUGCUGGCCUGAACUCCAAUCAAAACUCCUAUGAUACAACUUCAAGAGUAUUUUACAAGAUAAUAUGUUAAAGGUAUAGAACACACAUAACAAAUUAGAUGUGGAAAGUAGACUGUUUGAAGAAUUCAAUAUUAAAGAUGAAGCAAGCAAAAUAUUCUGAAAUACAAAAGAUAAAAGAAAAUGAAGUGCCCAUCUCCUCCUGAAAUGUAAGUGACGAUGGAAAAUAACAGACAAGAGGAAACUUUGCCCAACUAAACAUUUAAUUCCAAAGUAAAGCAAAAAUAAAAAUAAGUAAUACAAAGAAAUUAAGAUAGUUACUGAAUGGGAAGAAUAUAAUAUUUAUAGAAUAUUACAAAAAAUUACAGAAAUUAAUUUUAUGCAAAACAUAAAAGAUAAAGAAGGCAAAGAUUUACUGAAGCAAGAAGAGAAUAUAUGGAGGAGCUGGGGGGGAAAAACCACAUCCCAAUUUCAAUGACAAUGCACUGGAUCUCUGAGCUAUAGCUAGACAAUUUGGAAGAGUGGUUCUUGAAUUGUUUGACUCAAUUAAACCUUUUUCUGGUCUUGAAUUGUCUCUCACCCCCCCACCCCCAAAUACCUCUGUUGCUUUACACAAGUCUUUAAGCAGCAGCAGUCCCAAACUAGAUUCUUGAAUUACAAACAAGCAACUACAAAUUGCUCUGUUACUCUGAGAUUUCCCAAAUCACCCCCCUGGAAGUAAUUACUCCACUGUUCUGAAAAAGGAAGUUAAAUGGGCUCUACAACAAUAAAGAUGCAGGAUUUGUUGAAAUAUCACCCUAUCUAUUGAGGAAUCUGUAAGAUGGUGCAAUUAAAGUGCUCUUGCAAUUUUUAAAUUGUACUGUUAAACAAGAGACUGGAAAAGAUCAUUUUCUAUUUCAACUUUUAAAAAAUCAGUGAUAAAGAAUAUUCAAUCUACUGAGUAACUACAAUUAUCUCAUAUAUUAACAAUGCUCAAGAUAUUAUACUUUAGGAUCAGCAAUAUAUGAAAUAAGAACUGCCAGAUAUACAAGCUGGAUAUCGAAGACAAAAAGGCACCUAAAAUAUCAUUGCUAAUAUCUAAUGAAUAAAACAAAAGGAGGGUUCCAAAAACAUGCUUACUUUUUGCUUAUUGAUUGUAUUAAAGCUUUUGAGUAUAUAUCUCUCAACCAAUUCUGGGCAACUCUUAAGAACAUAUGUAUAUAUUCAUUUGUCUAGGGAAGCAACUGGAUAGUUCAAUAUUGAGAAAGGAAUACACUGAGGUUGUCUUAUGUACAUAUACAGAAUAUAUAAUGAAAAAUGCUGAACUAGAAAAAAAUGAAAUAAGAAUUAAGAUUGCUGAAGCCUAAUAAUUUCAGGUAUGCUGACGAUAUCGCUUUUAUAGAUGAAAGUGGAGAAAAAAGAUGAAAGAACAGAAUACAAAAGUUGGCCUAUUCAACAUUUAAAACAUGUCAACAGAUAAUGUCAAUCAACACAAAGACACAAAAACAUAACAAAAAUCAUUUUAAAACAUUAAAGCAAUCAAAGCUAUUUUAAAAAACAUAAUCUGCAGGACAGCCCAUUCAGUUCCCUUAGCAAUAAAGCCAGAUUUUUUGCCAGUUUCCAGUAUUUUUGACUGUUUCAGGCAAAAAGUACCCAUUCAGGAGAAUGGCUUUGCACUUAUGACUAUGUGAUUUGCUUACCAGCUACAAGAUUUAAACUUACACUUGCAUGAGUUACUUAAAGACUGCCAUAAAAAUGGGUCUGGUCAUCUAGGUACCUUGACAUACAACUAUCGGGACAUACACCUGAACUUCUGAUCCAAAUUGCAGUCAUAAGCCAAGGGCUACCUAUAAUUCAGUCUAGGUAUAGAUAAAACCCUGGAUGGAUAAAUAUUUGGCACUGAAAAAUACAAUGUUUAUGUGCAAACACCAGUGGUGUUUAACAUUUUAAUGUAGCACUGGAAAUAUAUCCAAAUUAAGAGCUCUCCUUCAAAGUAGUGCUGUUCAAGUUCUAGAUGUUUGACAAGGAAUAACUCUAACUAGAAAGUAACUUCUGGGUUUCUGAAUAUUUAAGAGUAGCCACUAACAUUUCUGCUCAAAACAUCGAGUUUAUGAAUUGCUUUAAUCUCUUCCCAACUUUUUCCAGCAGCCUAGGAAAGGAUACAUGAAGUCUGAAUAGAUUCUUUCCUGCUAAUUUAGAAACGAGGAAUUUAAAAGCUUCUAAGUCAUCAAAUCAUUAUACCAAGGACUCAUCCUAAGCCUCAAUUUCUUUUAUCCUAAAUUUCUAGUGAUGUCUUUCUGUAUAUCUAAACUCCCAGAGUUGGAUGGAUCAGGUGAUACAGAAUGCUCCAAGACACAUUUAAUUAUUGAGGUCCUCCCAGUGUAAAAUAGUGAAUUACAGCACUUGUUGUUUCCAAUGCAACAUGUGUUUUUUUUCCCCAGGAAAGUCUACAUAUUUAUGAUCCUGGAAAUGAACUAACGCAGUAACAGCUCCCACCCAAUAAAAUGAGAACAAAAGAAGUACUGUGAAGUGCAUGACUGUUAGGAUAAGAUAUUUAAAAGCGAAUGCAUCAUAAUUUUUGUUGUAAUUACAGGAUCUGGAGACUUACAGACUGUGAUGUAAAAAUUUAAAACUACAGAAGUCUUCAGAGGAAGAUGUUAAUUUUUAUUCUUUCCAAGCCAAUAAAAUGUUGGAAAGAUAUAUUGGAAAGGGAUUUACGACUCUGUCUAUCAGCAGGAUAACUCUGAAAACAGAACAGACCAGGACCAAAUUUGGUGUACAGGAAGAAGUUGGCAAAAGAAGAACUAGAGUUCAAAAAUGUGUCAGAUCCAGCUGGGGUUUACAAAGAUUAAAAAUCUAAAAUAUAUAAAUCUCCUCAAUGCAUCCCUAAGGUUGGGCAGUGAUCCAGAAUCCUGCUGACAUUUCCAUUUUAAGUUUUCCGCCCUCCUGGCUACAUAAUCCAGCAUAUGUAGAUGCAAAGGUGGCUGGGGCAUUCUGGGAGUUGAAGUCCUCCAGGCUUAAAGUUGCCAAGGUUGGAGACCCCUGUUGUAUACCACACAAGAGAAGUAAUGGGUCAGACAAGAUGCAACACAAGAGGAAUAAUGGACCUGACAAGGGCAAUACAGGCACACAUACACAGAAACAGACACUAUAGAUGCAUACAGCAAAUCCAGACAGGUCCCUGGGGACAAAUAUAGAUCAUACAUAUGACAUAUCCUCACUUCGUUACACAGAAAACAAUGUAUGUGCCUGCUACGGCAAUUGCUGGUGAAAGUGUGGAAAGAAUUCAAGAACCACACCUUGACAGAAAUAACACUAUUGUUCAUCUUGAUUUUUUAAAAAAUGACUACAUAUGUUCAGUAGCAACUGAUAUAUGACAUUCUAUAUGUUAUCUUUUUUGCACAAACUCCAAUUUGAUUUGGAAGGAGACACCAUGGACACUUGUAAACUACUCCAAGGCUGCAUGCUUACCAGAUUAAAGUAAAUCUGCUAGUUUUAAAGGGGUUUAUUUUCAAAGGUGGCAUCUAAUCUAAUCUAGACUCGUCUAGAUUAGAUUAGAGUCAUCUAAACCCUGCGUGGCCAAAAUUAAUUAACAAGAUUAACCAAAAAAAAUUGAUACUUUAUUCUACUCUAACAUUACAGGAAUCUAAACUCUAAAAGCCCAAUUAUCACAAAUGGGCUUUAUACUCUUAUUCUUAUACAGUUCAUCAAGAUGCAAAGAAGAGGAGAUAAAAUGGAGGACAAAAGCCAACCCAGCAGGAUCAAGGAGUGUGACUAUAUGCCCAGAAUCUGAUGGCUAACAUUCAAAAUGGGUAAAGAAAAAAUGAAUAGGAAAUAAAAGGAAAGCAUCCUGUUAUAAAGAAAUUUUUGCAAACAAAAAGUUCUUGGAGUCUUAUGAAUUGAUCAAAAAGUCAAGUUCAAAGAUAAAACUGUAUGCCAAAGUAUAUGUAGAUUAGGAAUGUCUGGCUUAAGAGAAGGACAGACAAUUAAUGUUCUGACACAAGUCAGAGAAUAAAAAAAAGAUGCAUUAUCUAGCAGCAAAAGCUUGGCAGUUAUAAAGCACAUGGACUCAGGAACAGCUAGGAUAUUGUUUAUAAAACCACAGAGUUGUAACAUGAAAGUAUAGAACCUUUCUCUUUCAUGAAUGUGUGUGCGCAUGCGCACACGCACACACACUGAAACAGUGCUAUUCAAUGGUACCAUUUCUGUUGAAUAGUAUCAUUGAAUAAUAUGAAUUAAAACAUUUUCUUCAAAAGUGAAUGAGGUUCUUGUUUGUUUGUUUGUGUGUGUGUUUGUUUGUUUAUUUAUUAUUCACAUUUUUAUACUGCCCUUCUCCGAAGACUCAGGGCGGUGUACAGCAAAUAAAAUGACAAUAAUACAAAAAACCAUUUAAAAUACCAUAACAAAGUUAAAAAUCUAAUUAAACUUCUGUAUACUUAAAACUAUUAGAUAAAACUACAAAGAUAAAACCCCUGUUAAAAGCCCGCUAAAAUCCCCAAUUAUUAAAAUCAAUCAAUCAGGCCAGCCCCGCUGUCGCUGCCGUUUGAUUCAAAGGUUGAAAGGCUGAUUAAACUUUGCAGGCCUUAUUUGGUUUACACCCCAUUUCUAAUUUGAGAAGGCCAACCAGUAUGGAAAAAGUCCCAUUUUCAUAUACAAAGUUUUGUCAAUAUUUUAUAUCAGAAGCCCAGUUUGGCUCUUUUCCAGUAAGCCUCCUUAUGGAAAUUUCUGAUUUCCUCAUCUUCCCACCAUGACAAAUGUGUGGGAAUCAAAGAUCAUAUUGGGUGGCAGCUGUGGGCAAGAUGGCACAUAACAAGUAAAGAUGAGAGAAGCUGCUUUCUCAGUAAGCGAGAAAGUCUCCCAGUUCAAAGGCACACAGGAUCUUGCCACGAGCACUUCUGCUUUUAAUUAAAAUAUCUUCAGUGACUUUGAAGGAGGAGAAUUACAAGGAGAAAAAAAGACACUGAACUGGCUGCUCCUCACCACAAUGACAUUGUAACUCAGAAACAAAGGCACAGAACCUUUUGUUCCAGCACUGAAGGUUGCAAGUGAAUCUGAGCAGUAGACAGAUUCAGGUAUUAAAAUGGCUUUCAAGGCCUUUCUACACCAUCUGUUUAUUGUCCAGUAAGAAUGCAUUUGGUUCUAAUUUGCUAUAGACAACCUUUAUUACUUCCGCUGAUUAAGCUUACAAUGAGAGACUUCCACCAGCCCAGUGAAGUUCUUGAAUCUACACCUCAAAGAGCUGACCUUCGCACUUUCAUAAACUUUCUGUAUGCCUAUGGAACGAUUCCUUAUUUCUUUGAAUUCUACCUUCUGUGCUGCUAUUAAAAAGUACAUCUCUUACAAUGUAUUCCUAAUUAAAAUGGUAGGGUUAAUUCAAGAGGCACAUAGCUGGUAAGCAAAGCCAUUAUCUGGAUCGACACUAUGAAGGCCCAAAACAGAUAUGCCAAAGUUUCCUACAUUUGCAGUUGCUUCACACUGUUGAGACAUGGAUAAAGAGUGAAUAAUCUGUGCAGGCCUACUCACAUAUGUGAAAUAUACUUCCAUGUUAUUUAGGUGGAUAGUUAAUAAAAACCAUCUACCUUUUUCUUAAAAGGAAUUGAGGUUUGUGUCCCUGCACUAUGCUUUAGUGUAAAAAAGUGCACCACUUUUAAUAGAGUGAUGAGCUAGGCAGAGCUAACCCAAAGACACUAAAACUCAAGACUGUGUCUGUUCUACCUUGCUUCCAGAAAUAAAGCAAUAUUUUAUGGAAUUUUCUAAAGGAUAAACACUCUUUUAGGUCAGAGUUGCCAUCUAGCCAGAUUUUUGCUUUCCUUCAAAACAAGAAAAAACUUUCUGCCCAUGCAAUUACCCACAAGUAGUAUGUUUGUAAAAGUAGAGUACUACCCUUUGGAAAUACUUUUGGGGAAAUCAUGCUUAUGAUUAAGAUGCAGCUUUCUGUUUUGCUCAUGCAGAAAAGCCCUUGGGACAACAUCAGGAAUUAAAUAGCCUACAAAUCACAGAACCACAACCUAGAAACAACAAAUAUGUAACAAGGCUGAAAAGAGCAUAAACUGAACAUAUUCUCAUAGUGAAAGGAAAAAGAGGCUGAUAUAAGUAUUGUAGCAAGAAAUAAAAUCUUAUUGGUAAUUCAUAUAGAGAUACGUUUUUUGGAGAAACCCAAACUUUUUGGCAAGAGAUCUUUAGUUAGACACAUUUAUCAAAAGGAAAGAAGCCUCAAAUUUGGAUGCAAGUAGCUACAGUAUUGACUUUAUAUGUUCAGCACUCUUGACAGCAGCUGCACUUGUAUCUCAUCCAUAAGAAGUUAUGGAAUUUGGAAAGAUCAAUUAUAAACAACUUCAGAAGAACUCUAAUCCUUUCCUAAUUCAGUAUGCCGCCUGAGAGGCUAUGAGAUAAGACUAUGGAAACGAAUUCCUAGUACACUCUGUAUAACCUAUCAACCUCUAAGUGACUCUUAGUAUAUAUCACAUUCUGCAAGCAAUAUUUUCAGAUCAGCUAAGCUAUUUUUCAUGCAAAAAAAAAAAGAAAGAAAGAGAGAAAAUCACCAUGCAAGGCUCUUUUUGUUCCACCUAGACUCUCACCCUCAUUAUGAAAAGUAGCCAGUUUAUGCAAAAAUCUUUAAUGCAAAGAGUUAAACUCAGUCACAGCAAACUUUGCUAAAAAUCAAGAACACAAUUUUUCAAGGCCUCUAAAACAGAGAAAGAUUGUUCAGUUGGCAAAAGUAUGCUCUUUUCUGAGGCCUGGGGGCUAAAAGAUCAAAAGAAAGAGAGGGAAGAAAAAACAGAGCUGCAUUGACCCACAACAGGGAGGAACUCUUACAGAAGUUAACAAAUUAACCUCAAGUCGGAGAAGUAGAGGAAGGUCAGUCUAGUGAUCUUCAGAACAGAUAAUAAACACUGUGGGAUUAUAGUAACCGUAAACAGUGACUGAUACUAGAAAAUAAAACACAACUCUUUACAUCUGGGAUGCAAUGGUUGUGCAAGAGAUCCUAUCUCCUUUCCAUAUCUUCCUAAAGUAGAGUCAUUUCAUGUUUUGUACACCGCUUUCAAGCAUGACCAUGUUGCCUGAUUUGUAAAAAGCCUACAAUGAAUGCAAAAUAUAAUUCAGAACCUGGAUUACUCACUACAUGCCUACAAUAUAAGGCAGACAAACUGAACAGAAGUUUUAAAAUAACCCAAGGCUUACUGCUGCUGUUUUAUUAAUUCUGGGAAAUGAACCCAGGAUGAUAAGAUAAUUGAGCUAUCUACAAUACUUUCAACACUUCCAUUACAAGAAUAAUUUUUUUCAUAACCCGUCGACAAUGGUAAUAGUCAUUAGGCCAUAUAGAAAUGCAAAAUAUAAAACACAGAAUAGAACUAGUGGUUCGUGAGAAAAUUUUGGUGGGCCACAGAAUAAUUAUUUGCAUUUUUUAUAUUGCACUAAAUACUAUUCAUCUUUAAAAAAAAAUCAUAUUAGUGGUCUGUUGAAUUUAAAAUUAUGAAUUUAGCAGUUCCUGAGUUCCGAAACGUUGGCGAUCUCUGGUAUAUAAGACCAUUAUAUUAAAAAUAGAAUAAAAGAAAUAAGCAUAAAAAAUUGGCAUAAUUUGAUACAGACAUAUUUGUUUCCAAAAAGCAAGGCAAAUGAGAAGAACAAAAUCUGUUCGGGGCACAUAUUCAAACUUUCAGUCCUUAUUAACACCAUAUUUUUCUUAAGAAGAGAAAGAUUAGAAUGAAACAUGAAUUAUUCUCUCUCGCUUAAUACCCCAUGCACUUUGCAAAGCUGUAGUCAUAUAAACUAAAAAUAACAUGCACUGUAGUAUCACAAGACAGUUGAGUUGAGUAAUAAGCAUGGGCAGUUAAUGUGCCCAAAUAAGAACAAGGUACAAAUGCUUGCAGGCAGAGGACAGAUCAGCAUCUUCCUUCAUUAUUUACCAAUCAGUGGCUCUAGAGGAGAGAUAAUGUUUCCCACAUUCUUUUAAGAACUAGGAGACAGGCUUUGGGACAAUUAUUAAACAAUGCCAUGGCAAACAUGGAAGAUUGACUAAAUCAAAGGCCAUUCUUUUUGGCAUGUGGGACACAUGGAGCAAAAAUGUGGUACUCAAUGUAAGGAAGGACAAUGUUGCCUUGCUCAAAGGAACUAGUAAUGUAGUUUUAAAGGAACUAAUCAAGGAUAAGCAACUUUGUAUCAGAAUAAUGGUCAAAUUUACAAAGGAGUUUUAGUUCAUAGAAAUCCGCCUUAGAUAUCUUUCUCCUUGCUGCAUCCUGAAAGAUUCAUUUACCUGGACAGAAACUCUUAAAAUAUAUUACUAUAUAGCAUUAGAAGUAGCUGAAACCAACACCUUCCAAUUAUUUAAAAAUCUUGGUCCUGAAUUUAUUUGUUACUUGGUACGAUUACAGGCAAUGCUCUGUUUUCAAUUAUUCUUAAUUAGAUGAUCCCAAGAAAUACUUCCUAUUGCUCAAACACUGCAAUACUAUAUAGCUAUUCCCUUCCUAACUGAUAUUAAACAAUACUGUGAGGAUUCCAUCUGUAACAUAUUAUCUUUAAUUAGAAAAAUGCUGGUAAAAAAUCAUGAGACAGUUAUUAAUGAACCCUAACACUGCUUGUUCCCCCUUAACAUUUUGUGAUAGAGAAACAAUGAAUAUAUAAUAAAACUCUCAUCCAGAAGAACCUUAACUCCAAGAAAGUGAAUUAUUACCCAGUUAAAUCCGUAAGAAUUAGCAUAAGGAAAUUUCACUGAUCCAGUAAUGUAACAUGUUAAAAAAUAAAGAGGGCUUAAGCCAAAUAAAAAUAUCACUAUGAUUCUAUAGAAUUCCAGAAUGUUUUGUUUAUUUCUGGACAAUGCUGAACCUCUCCUGGCUUUUCAGGAUUGGUCCAGCAGUUUCCAGAAGUAACUUCUUGGAAGUACAAUUGUUUUCUGGUAUUCCAGAUAUUGCAUUAUGAAUAAAACAGGUACAUUUUAGGCAGUGGUGGGAUUCAGCCAGUUCGCACCACUUCAGGAGAACCAGUUGUUAACUUUCUGAGCAGUUUGGUGAACUGGUUGUUGGAAGAAAUCAUUAGGGCAGGGAACCAGUUGUUAAAUUAUUUGAAUCCCACCACUGAUUUUAGGGCUGGAUCAUAGACUUAGCAUGGUUGGGAUGAAACAGAAUGUUUUCCAGAUCAAUGAAUUCUGCACCCAUUCUAAUAUCCAGUAUCCUCCUUCGUGUUAAUGCUGCCAUUAUUUUAUCAACAAUCCAUUAUUCCACACAUUACCAGGUAUUAGAGGACCAGUGAGAUAAGAUUUUCGAAAUUUAGAAUAAAAGAACUAUUGAUAGAAUCAUCUAUAUUCAAAGCAAGAAUCAUUUUAAGAAAUUCUAGCACCACAAGAAAUCAAGCCAUUUCAAAUGUCCUUCAUUUGAUUUAUACAAUAGUAAUCAUUGAUCUUAAAAACAAAACAUUU